GUGACUUUGCUUGGAGCUUGGGUGCUCUGACGUCUUUAGUGGUGGCCUCUGGGUUUGGCAUCCUGCUCAUCAUCACAGUCAUGUGGUGCUUUUUUAAGAAGAGGUCAAAGGCUGACAUGGGGAACAUAAAAGCCAGUGGAUGCAAUCCGUCUGG